AGAGUUUGAUCCUGGCUCAGGAUGAACGCCGGCGGUGUGCCUAAUACAUGCAAGUCGUACGCACUGGCCCAACUGAUUGAUGGUGCUUGCACCUGAUUGACGAUGGAUCACCAGUGAGUGGCGGACGGGUGAGUAACACGUAGGUAACCUGCCCCGGAGCGGGGGAUAACAUUUGGAAACAGAUGCUAAUACCGCAUAACAACAAAAGCCGCAUGGCUUUUGUUUGAAAGAUGGCUUUGGCUAUCACUCUGGGAUGGACCUGCGGUGCAUUAGCUAGUUGGUAAGGUAACGGCUUACCAAGGCGAUGAUGCAUAGCCGAGUUGAGAGACUGAUCGGCCACAAUGGAACUGAGACACGGUCCAUACUCCUACGGGAGGCAGCAGUAGGGAAUCUUCCACAAUGGGCGCAAGCCUGAUGGAGCAACACCGCGUGAGUGAAGAAGGGUUUCGGCUCGUAAAGCUCUGUUGUUGGAGAAGAACGUGCGUGAGAGUAACUGUUCACGCAGUGACGGUAUCCAACCAGAAAGUCACGGCUAACUACGUGCCAGCAGCCGCGGUAAUACGUAGGUGGCAAGCGUUAUCCGGAUUUAUUGGGCGUAAAGCGAGCGCAGGCGGUUGCUUAGGUCUGAUGUGAAAGCCUUCGGCUUAACCGAAGAAGUGCAUCGGAAACCGGGCGACUUGAGUGCAGAAGAGGACAGUGGAACUCCAUGUGUAGCGGUGGAAUGCGUAGAUAUAUGGAAGAACACCAGUGGCGAAGGCGGCUGUCUGGUCUGCAACUGACGCUGAGGCUCGAAAGCAUGGGUAGCGAACAGGAUUAGAUACCCUGGUAGUCCAUGCCGUAAACGAUGAGUGCUAGGUGUUGGAGGGUUUCCGCCCUUCAGUGCCGGAGCUAACGCAUUAAGCACUCCGCCUGGGGAGUACGACCGCAAGGUUGAAACUCAAAGGAAUUGACGGGGGCCCGCACAAGCGGUGGAGCAUGUGGUUUAAUUCGAAGCUACGCGAAGAACCUUACCAGGUCUUGACAUCUUGCGCUAACCUUAGAGAUAAGGCGUUCCCUUCGGGGACGCAAUGACAGGUGGUGCAUGGUCGUCGUCAGCUCGUGUCGUGAGAUGUUGGGUUAAGUCCCGCAACGAGCGCAACCCUUGUUACUAGUUGCCAGCAUUAAGUUGGGCACUCUAGUGAGACUGCCGGUGACAAACCGGAGGAAGGUGGGGACGACGUCAGAUCAUCAUGCCCCUUAUGACCUGGGCUACACACGUGCUACAAUGGACGGUACAACGAGUCGCAAGCUCGCGAGAGUAAGCUAAUCUCUUAAAGCCGUUCUCAGUUCGGACUGUAGGCUGCAACUCGCCUACACGAAGUCGGAAUCGCUAGUAAUCGCGGAUCAGCAUGCCGCGGGUGAAUACGUUCCCGGGCCUUGUACACACCGCCCGUCACACCAUGGGARUUUUGUAACCGCCCAAAGUCGGUUGGCCUAACCUUUUAUGGAAGGGAGCCCGCCUAAAGGCGGGACAGAUGACUGGGGU
rnacentral:rRNA from 1 species